rfam:Picea glauca, whole genome shotgun sequence.
UUUAAUGUACAUGCCUACAACAUAGAAUUAAUGCAUCGGAUCCCAUUAGAACUCCAUAGUUAAGCACACUUGGGAUGGAGUAGUACUUGGAUGGGUGACUUCCCGGGAAGUCCUAGUAUUUUAGAU